rnacentral:rRNA from 1 species
AUGUUUACUGUGGGCUUAGACGUUGAUACGCGUGCCUACUUCACCGCAGCUACCAUGAUCAUAGUUGUGCCCACAGGAAUCAAAAUCUUUAGUUGGAUCGCUACCAUGUGGGGAGGUUCGAUACAAUACAAAACACCCAUGUUAUUUGUUGUAGGGUUCAUCUUUUUGUUCACCAUAGGAGGGCUCACUGGAAUAGUUCUAGCAAACUCUGGGCUAGACAUUGCUCUUCAUACCAGCAUAAUCAUUCUCCCAGUAUUGGAAACAUACUUUUGUAAUAACAUGAAUGUCUUUAAUCUCUGUGUACCUUCCUAUUUGCUCUGUCAGCUCAUUAGCUGCUGCAAAUAUUUCUUAGCUAUUAGAUCCUCUUUCUUCAUGGUAGAACUCCAAGACAGAUGA